UACAGAGGUCCCGAGCGUUGUUCGGAUUCAUUGGGCGUAAAGGGUGCGUAGGCGGUCUGCUAAGUUUGAUGUGAAAUCCCGGGGCUCAACCCUGGAAUUGCAUUGAAUACUGGUGGACUAGAGUACUGGAGAGGAAACUGGAAUUUACGGUGUAGCAGUGAAAUGCGUAGAGAUCGUAAGGAAGACCAGUGGCGAAGGCGAGUUUCUGGACAGUAACUGACGCUGAGGCACGAAGGCCAGGGGGAGCAAACGGG
rnacentral:rRNA from 1 species